rnacentral:lncRNA from 1 species
GGUCGACAUGUGGGGCAUGUUGUCCAAUGUCCUCCUUUGUAAAAACCUGUGAAAAGUAAUCAUUUAAUAUAUUUGCUAUUUUUUUUUUUUUUUUUUUUUUUUUUUUUUUUUUUUUUUUUUUUUUUUUUUUUUUUUUUUUUUUUUUUUUUUUUUUUUUUUUUUUUUUUUUUUUUUUUUUUUUUUUUUUUUUUUUUUUUUUUUUUUUUUUUUUUUUUUUUUUUUUUUUUUUUUUUUUUUUUUUUUUUUUUUUUUUUUUUUUUUUUUUUUUUUUUUUUUUUUUUUUUUUUUUUUUUUUUUUUUUUUUUUUUUUUUUUUUUUUUUUUUUUUUUUUUUUUUUUUUUUUUUUUUUUUUUUUUUUUUUUUUUUUUUUUUUUUUUUUUUUUUUUACGUGGUGGUGGCGUGAACUUGAUUGGUACUGUGCAGAGCAGGGCUGGCGCUAUUACUUCAAAAUUUUUUUUUUUUUUUUUUUUUUUUUUUUUUUUUUUUUUUUUUACGUGGUGGUGGCGUGAACUUGAUUGGUCCUGUGCAGAGCAGGGCAGGGCUGGCGCUAUUACUUCAAAAUUUUUUUUUUUUUUUUUUUUUUUUUUUUUUUUUUUUUUUUUUUUUUUUUUUUUUUUUUUUUUUUUUUUUUUUUUUUUUUUUUUUUUUUUUUUUUUUUUUUUUUUUUUUUUUUUUUUUUUUUUUUUUUUUUUUUUUUUUUUUUUUUUUUUUUUUUUUUUUUUUUUUUUUUUUUUUUUUUUUUUUUUUUUUUUUUUUUUUUUUUUUUUUUUUUUUUUUUUUUUUUUUUUUUUUUUUUUUUUUUUUUUUUUUUUUUUUUUACGUGGUGGUGGCGUGAACUUGAUUGGUCCUGUGCAGAGCAGGGCUGGCGCUAUUACUUCAAAAUUUUUUUUUUUUUUUUUUUUUUUUUUUUUUUACGUGGUGGUGGCGUGAACUUGAUUGGUCCUGUGCAGAGCAGGGCUGGCGCUAUUACUUCAAAAUUUUUUUUUUUUUUUUUUUACGUGGUGGUGGCGUGAACUUGAUUGGUCCUGUGCAGAGCAGGGCAGGGCUGGCGCUAUUACUUCAAAAUUUUUUUUUUUUUUUUUUUUUUUUUUUUUUUUUUUUUUUUUUUUUUUUUUUUUUUUUUUUUUUUUUUUUUUUUUUUUUUUUUUUUUUUUUUUUUUUUUUACGUGGUGGUGGCGUGAACUUGAUUGGUCCUAUAGGUGACUCGGGCAGCAGCAGCGGUGA